rnacentral:rRNA from 1 species
GACGUAGGAGGCGAGCGUUAUCCGGAUUCACUGGGCGUAAAGCGCAUGUAGGCGGUUGUGCAAGUCGUGUGUGAAAGUCCCCGGCUCAACUGGGGAAGGUCAUGCGAAACUGUGCGACUCGAGGGCAGGAGAGGAACGUGGAACUCCCGGUGUAGCGGUGGAAUGCGUAGAGAUCGGGAAGAACACCAGUGGCGAAGGCGACGUUCUGGUCUGCACCUGACGCUGAGAUGCGAAAGUGUGGGUAGCAAACGGG